UCGAACGAGUUCUGAUUAUUGAAAGGUGCUUGCAUCUUGAUUUAAUUUUGAACGAGUGGCGGACGGGUGAGUAACACGUGGGUAACCUGCCCUUAAGUGGGGGAUAACAUUUGGAAACAGAUGCUAAUACCGCAUAAAUCCAAGAACCGCAUGGUUCUUGGCUGAAAGAUGGCGUAAGCUAUCGCUUUUGGAUGGACCCGCGGCGUAUUAGCUAGUUGGUGAGGUAACGGCUCACCAAGGCAAUGAUACGUAGCCGAACUGAGAGGUUGAUCGGCCACAUUGGGACUGAGACACGGCCCAAACUCCUACGGGAGGCAGCAGUAGGGAAUCUUCCACAAUGGACGCAAGUCUGAUGGAGCAACGCCGCGUGAGUGAAGAAGGCUUUCGGGUCGUAAAACUCUGUUGUUGGAGAAGAAUGGUCGGCAGAGUAACUGUUGUCGGCGUGACGGUAUCCAACCAGAAAGCCACGGCUAACUACGUGCCAGCAGCCGCGGUAAUACGUAGGUGGCAAGCGUUAUCCGGAUUUAUUGGGCGUAAAGCGAGCGCAGGCGGUUUUUUAAGUCUGAUGUGAAAGCCCUCGGCUUAACCGAGGAAGUGCAUCGGAAACUGGGAAACUUGAGUGCAGAAGAGGACAGUGGAACUCCAUGUGUAGCGGUGAAAUGCGUAGAUAUAUGGAAGAACACCAGUGGCGAAGGCGGCUGUCUGGUCUGUAACUGACGCUGAGGCUCGAAAGCAUGGGUAGCGAACAGGAUUAGAUACCCUGGUAGUCCAUGCCGUAAACGAUGAAUGCUAGGUGUUGGAGGGUUUCCGCCCUUCAGUGCCGCAGCUAACGCAUUAAGCAUUCCGCCUGGGGAGUACGACCGCAAGGUUGAAACUCAAAGGAAUUGACGGGGGCCCGCACAAGCGGUGGAGCAUGUGGUUUAAUUCGAAGCAACGCGAAGAACCUUACCAGGUCUUGACAUCUUUUGAUCACCUGAGAGAUCAGGUUUCCCCUUCGGGGGCAAAAUGACAGGUGGUGCAUGGUUGUCGUCAGCUCGUGUCGUGAGAUGUUGGGUUAAGUCCCGCAACGAGCGCAACCCUUAUGACUAGUUGCCAGCAUUUAGUUGGGCACUCUAGUAAGACUGCCGGUGACAAACCGGAGGAAGGUGGGGAUGACGUCAAAUCAUCAUGCCCCUUAUGACCUGGGCUACACACGUGCUACAAUGGAUGGUACAACGAGUUGCGAGACCGCGAGGUCAAGCUAAUCUCUUAAAGCCAUUCUCAGUUCGGACUGUAGGCUGCAACUCGCCUACACGAAGUCGGAAUCGCUAGUAAUCGCGGAUCAGCACGCCGCGGUGAAUACGUUCCCGGGCCUUGUACACACCGCCCGUCACACCAUGAGAGUUUGUAACACCCGAAGCCGGUGGCGUAACCCUUUUAGGGAGCGAGCCGUCUA
rnacentral:rRNA from 1 species